GAGUACAGGCUAGUAUCGCGAGAUCAGGAGGGUGGCCGAGGGUGUCGCCGCGGCCAUCAGGGGGGUUAUAGCCAUGUGACUAAUCUUUGUCCGAGAAUAUAUAAAGCAAAAGUGUUGAGUUGGCUUUUGGGGCUAGAGCAAUGUAUCUUAGGCUCACUUAAGGAAGCUGUAGAAAUGAGCCCAAGGAGGGAAACCAGAAGAGCCCCCCAGGCUCACCAGUUGUUUGUUGGCUCCCUACAAACAUGUCAUUCAAGUGGCUAAUCUUACAACAGCACAAAUGCAUCUAACCAGAAAGAGAAGAGGAGGCUCCAAAGGCACUUGACUACUGAGCAUCACCCUGGACGUGUACAAGUCUGCGUCCUUAUUGUUUUCUUCAUUGGGCCGAACUUUCUGGUCCUCAUCCAACAGCUCUUCUAUCACAUGUUCGAAAGUGUCAGCCAACGAUGUCAGGCCUCUUGAACCCGCCUUGGGCCCAUUCACGCUCUCCAGAGUCCCAUGGGUCCGCACACCUGGAGAUACUCUAUUAUAGCAAAGAAGAAAGAUAAUUUCAUUGAGCCAUCCUGUUUUACAGCACCCAACAGAAUCUCUUCAAAGCCUGGUGGUCUGACACCCUAUGCUACGUGACUUGUGACCCAUCCAUUUGUCAUGUUCUUUGGGAAUGUGGCUAAGGGGCUGAGAUGUGACUUGAAAAGAAAGGUAGAACAAGAUCAUCUCAAAUUUAUUAUCAAGGAAUAGUUCAGACAACGACUUCAGGCCACAAAGACAGCAGAACAGAUGGUCCGGCAUGGAUAGAGCAUCAGACACUCACAGACUGUGCCAACAAGAGCCAUCGAGUCAAAACAGCCAAAGGAAGGAGGGUCAUGGAAUGGGUUCUCUCACACCAAACUGAUGCCCAGAGGCCCUCGGCAUGAAUAACAAAGGCAACCAGACCCACAAUCCAUACUGAGUGGAUACAAAACCUAUACCUAGGCUG
rnacentral:antisense_RNA from 1 species